UAGUUGUGUACCACUGAGUAUUAUUACUCAGCGAUAGCGUGUUUUGCUGUCGCAGAUAAGGAAAAUGACAAGGCAGCAGAGUAAGCUGCUUGGAGCUGAAACUGAAGUAUUAGUUAGACUUUUUCCGGGUAUAUUAUUCAUACCCUUUGUAAAUUUUUCUUUUGAUGUAAAUUAAUUUUAUGUAUCCAUACAUACACAUUGAGCAGUUGUCUAAAAGUUAUACUAUUAUUUUGAUUAAUGUAAACUUUGUAAUAUAAACUUGUUUACAUUUAUUUUUUUUAUGUAUGAAUGCAGUAUGUAAAUUUCUUUUAGAAUUCUCUGAAAUUGUGAAAUUGCAUUGAAUUGAGAUUGAUUUGGUUUGAGAAUAAUGGAGAUUGGGAUUUAAAUAUGUAUUGAAA
rnacentral:misc_RNA from 1 species